rnacentral:snRNA from 1 species
AGUAGGAGCUUAGGCUCC